rnacentral:lncRNA from 1 species
CCACAUACUAUCCACGUCCCCCCUACACUCCCAUACCCCCAUUCCCGCCAACUUCUCCCCUAUCUCCCACGCAUUCACUGGCGUCAAGCUGCCCCACUUAAUUCUAAGUCUACACUCCUUACCUCUUCUCUUCCUAUCCUUCUUUAUACCCAAAUCCAUAACCAAGAGCCUAUGCUGGGUCGAAAGAUUCUCACUCGGGAUGACCUUACAGUCCUUACACAACACCCUAUCCC